AUUUCAUCACCUGGGAGGAGAGGAUAGAUCUGUGGUGGUAGGCCAGCGAGCACUGCUGCGUGGGUCCAGCAUCUCCCGGCCUCCUUAAGGGACCACAUCAUGAGAGGGUGCUUGCAGGAGAUAUUGUAGGGGGAGGAGGUGUUCCAGCAAAGCCAGACUUUCCAGCUUUUUUAACAGGGUGAUGCUUUGACCUUCAGCUCCGCAUCUGUCCCUAGAUAUGUGUUGACAAACCAAGGUGUUGCAUGUGACUCCUUGGCUGCCCUGGUACAAUGCUGACGGCUCUGAAAACUGGCUCAUCAUGAGUGGUGUGUGCGGGAUGCUGCUGGAGGACUUCACACUGGCGAGUUUUCCUUCAACAGCCUGAUCAUCCUUACCUUCUCAUGACACUUCGGGGUCAGAAUACAGACAUCGGAGCUGUUAACAUCCAAGAUCCCUGACCUCUCAUGUCUGCCCUGGACACACCAGACUCUCAGUGAAGGGACCAUCUGGGGUGAAGUGUCUGCAUUUCAGGAAACCUACCUGGGCCCAGUGUAUCAUGUUUUUGACAGAUGUCCUAUCCGGAUAGUGGGAUGUGUACACAUCCAGCCGCGUCUGCAAGGAAACACGUUCAAGUUACCGUUGGUUUCCAAUGGAUAGGAGCGAGGAUGGCAGUUGCCAGAUGAUGCAAAAGAGCUACUGCUGAGUCAUGCUGCCUGAGAGUUGGGUCAGGUUCAGGAAUGUAAUUUUCAUUAAAAAUCAAUUCCUCUGAGACAGCUCCAGGGAGAGUAUGGUGAUGGAGGAUGAGGUACCCCUAGCUCCUGGAGAUACCUCAUCUAGGCUCAGGGACGGUGCUCAAGACCUUAGUGACUACCCAUGGUCACUCAGAUGCUGCUUCAGCAGACUUGAUGUAGAGUGGGUAGGAGCAGGGGCUGCACCCCAGGGGUGCUGGUGGGAGGUACAGCUGGUCUCAGUGACAGGCAGCCCUAACCCAGAGAUGCUAUCAAGUGCCACCUGGUCACUGAUGUUCACCCAGCAGAGCCUGGGACUUUUCCUACCCAGGGAGGAGAAGCAGCAAAAGAGGGAUCUGGCAGAGGGCACACAUUGCCCUUGCAGCAUCUGCUUGCCUGUGAGCACCAGGUGUAAGCGGCUAGAGCCGGCUGGGCUGGGUGUUUGGCAGGGAGGGGACAGGCUGCAGACAGAGGGGUCGGCAGAGCCAGUGGGUGCUGCUGGGUGCCCCUGAGCAGUGCACCCUGGGGCUCCGGCUCCGUCACCCCCACAGAGGGCAGCGCUCUCACCAUGUUGAGGUUCUUCUCAUUGUAGCCACCCAACAGAAAGAGGAGGUUGGCACAGGGCUUGUGCAGCAGCGGGUGCCUGCACAGCUGGGGAAGAAAACCCCACAGCUUCCUUAUCCGUAGCGAGGCAUCGGUUCUGCCGAGCAGAAGCUGCAGAAGCAAAGGGCAAAGUUGAUUUCUUGUGUUUCCCUUCCUGCAGCCUAGCCUUUGGACUGCCUCCCUUGACCUGCCACUGGCCAGUGUCCCCGUGAGCUGUCCCACCAGCUGGGCGGUGAGGGGAUGUGAAGCCCAGGGAGCCUGCAGAAGUCAAACCUGCUUCUCCUUUGCCCUCCUGCCUCUCUGAGAUCUGUACAGGUCAUUGCAGGAGGUGAUGCUGUUUGAAUGAACACCAGGCAGUCUGUUUGGGAAUUCAACAAGAGCCCCCAUAGAAAGACCAGUUUCAACACCUGACGCUCCUACAGGUGGAAGGCAGGCAUGCACUCAACAAAGUGACCACGCAGGAGUGUGCCUCACCUGAAUCGUGUCUGUGCUUAGGAACCAGCAGGAAAUAACUGUUUUCUGCUGCAUCGGAUAGCCCGUGGACUGCAUCUAGGCACAAUCCCUUUUCUAGUGUUUGGGGGAGGAGAGCAUAGAGUAAUCUCCUACCGGAAACAUCCUGAAUUGCCUGUCCAGAAGGAAGGACAUUUUCACGAUGGGACUUUUGGCAUGCUUGAUUGUCACUGCUGGAGCCAGGGCAAAAAACAUUCUGAUUUUCUGAGCCAGUUCUGGCAUAGAUGAAAAUGCAAUGAAUGCUGAGAAAACAGAAAAACAGCCUGAGACGUGGUCAAUCUUUCUUCAGGUGCUUAAUCUGAGGGUUCACUUGGACCUGCUGCCCAGAGCUGUUUAGCUGGCAUUAUCUCCAAUUAGGAACCUGGGAUCUCUUGCCACCUUUCUGCUUACACAUUGGUGCUAGAGAUGUCCAAAAGGAGACAAUGCCUUUAUUCCUACAGUUAGAAGUGACUGAUGAGGCAUUUCAGCGACUAACACUGAUGGGAAGUCCUGCCCCAGCAAUACUGUCACCUUCCAGCAACCACUGCUAAAGGGUGUCAUCAUCACAGAGGUUAUCUUAUACCCCUGAUGGCUCAACUGGUAAAAAGGAGCACCGUGCAUUUCAUCAGAAAGCAGAAGCUGUGAUGUCCGUGCAAAAUGCCUUUGGUUUUGAUGUGGAACACUUCAAUUCAGUUUUCUAGGCUGAAUUAUAGUUGCAGCAAGGAGCUUACUGAGGUCACCAGGGGCUUUCUUACUACCCUAGAGCAUCCUCCCAGAUGUCUCAUAUAGAAAGCACGACUGCUGUGGGAAUUCUCCCUGCAAGAGACCUUCUACCUAGCCUGCCUGCUCAGCAGCCCACAAAGAUGGGACCUCUCUGCUUUCUGCUUACAAACACCAAAAUUAACAUUUUCAAGGUGGUCCAGGCAAUGUCAUGUGCAACCCCUGCUAACGCACCGAUCGUGCAGCCCUGGGAGUAGCCAACAUAAUAUAUCUGCUUCUGCCCAGUCUUCUGCAGAACAAAGUUGAUCAUGGCUGGGAGGUCGUACAUUGCCAUUUCAUGAAAGCUGCAACACAGGAGCAGUGCAUUGGUUAUAAGGUAACACCAGGAGAGCAAACUCACCUGUGAAUUUUGGCUGUCUUUUAUCGCUCAUAUCUGUGGCUGAUUUUCCAGGAGAAAAUUCCUAUGAGCUAGGAGAGCCCUGUGCUGGGGGAGACUGCAUAGAGUCUGAAGGCAUCCCACCUCUCAUGUCCUCACCCUUCCCUGAAACGGCUUAGUCCUCCCAUAACCAUGGUUAGCGGUAAAGAAACUGUGCUGAGCCUGGCCAGCUGUGCAUUACACAGCAGCUCUGCAGACCCAGAGCUGGCUCUCGUCAGGAUUACAGCACCAGCUCUGCUCCAGAGAUGCUCUUUCCCAGAAGGGAAUGGAGCACCAGUUCCUGCCUAUGUGCCUUUUAGUGUGAUAUGGUGAAGCAAAGACCUUCUUUUUCUCAAUGGAAGCAUGUUUAUGAGCUUGGGAAAUCCAGGACUGCUCUGAAGAUCAGCUCUGGAGGGGCAGUAGCAGCUUAAAAAGCCACUCUUGGGACAAGGAUUCUGUGGACAAUGUCUAGGAGAAGAGGAGGUGGCAAUGAUGCUUGUGGGCACCUUGCCGGGGGGCUUGGCUGGGGAGGUCCCUGCAGAGGCCCUAAGGUAGGGCUGGUGUCUCUGCAGGAUGGGCAUCCCCACUCAGGCAGCAGUGCCCUGUGCUCUCGGCAGGGCCAGGCAGCUGUAGAGCUGUUGGCACCGUGUCAGCAGGCAGGUCUGCACAGGUACCUCCAUCCUCCCCAAACACAUCGCCAGGAGGUCUGGGGGAGGCCAUACCUGGGGAUUAGGUGCUCUGACUUGCCUGCUUGGAGGCACCCACCUCUGCCUAGAGGUUAGUGACAGGCAGAGAAGUUUGUUGCACUUUUGUAAUCUGCUCCAGCUCACCUGAAAUCCCAGAAUUCAACCUGGUCAGCUGAAAGUUGCUGGUGUCUCUGUGACCAGCUUGUCCCCCGGCUGUUUCCCAGCCAGACGUCAUAGCCAGAAUCUGCUAGUAUGAAGCCAAGGCUGUUGUUAGCCAGAUUUUCCACCCAGUGGCUGCCUUCUCCAAGUAACCCAUGCUGGAGAAACACAACUGGCUUGGGCCCUGGAUGUGAAAGAAACAGUGCAUUUUAUUGAACCGGAAUUUCUUUACUUACUAACCCCAAAUUCAGGCCAAUAAAGCCUCUUGCACUGCCAGUGUGCAUUUUCUUGAUGUCUCCUGGUGAAGAAAUCCUUGCUGUAGUUGUCUCGUGGUGGUUGCCUUGUUGUCUCAGGCUACAGGGCUGUGGGUAUUCCUCCUAAGCCUUUCAGAUCCCAGGUGCUCAUCCCUGCAAGCUCAGCACCGUGGCCACUGGCAGCAACCAUGUGAAAGCUCAGAUGACAGACUCAUCCCUGAGAUCAUUCAAACCCCAAAGUCACAAAUUGAUGGGCAAAAAAUUAAAUGAGGAGCUCUCUCAAGAGAUGCCUGCACCUUCUGAGACGAAAUUGGAGGAAUACCAUGGAUUUGGUAUUUUUGCUUUAAUGAUGAAUACUCCCCUGGCCUGGUAAAGCUGAUCCCUUCACCUGCUUGUUAUGUUAAGGGUUUGAGUUUUCUUUUGCUAGCUUCCUUUUGAAAUGGAGAUUUACCUCUGUUCCUAGGAUUUUCUCUCCCAUGAGGAAUUCUGUUCAGGCUGACAUAGUAGCCGUCGCGAGUCAGGACUUCAUACUCCUCGCUGGGGUACCCUCUGUGGCAGAUAAUUUGGCUCUGGGGAAAGAAAAACCCCAAUGGAAAGCUUUCUAUAGCCGAGGUAUUCAUUUGGCUCAAAGGGCACGUCCCUCAUCUGCUGGGAUGCCUUUGCAAAACAGAAACACUGUGGCAGCUGGGCAUUACUUUGACUGGGGUGUCUCUGGAUCAGCUGAGGACUUUUUUGAGAGAGGAUGCUCUGUCCAAAACCAGCACACAUGGUGACCCGAGCCCCUUCCACAUACAUACCCUCCAUCCCUCUCUCCCCCAGCUAAAUGUCUGCAAACUUUCAGACUGAGUGGAAUUUCAAACUUCUGACUUACAACAUUCAUGAAAGUCUCAGGGUUUAUAGCCUUUUUCUGCUCGAUGGCAUCUGCUGAGUUUGUGGGUGCUUGUAUCGAAACGAGGACUGCCAUAAGCAACCACAUCUUGUGUCUGUGUAAAACAUAUUAUUAUUAUUAUUGUUGCUAUUGUUACUGUUAUCAUUGUUAUUAUUAUAUAACGUUGCUAUGAA